AGUGAACGCUGGCGGUAGGCCUAACACAUGCAAGUCGAACGGCAGCACAGUAAGAGCUUGCUCUUACGGGUGGCGAGUGGCGGACGGGUGAGGAAUACAUCGGAAUCUACUUUUUCGUGGGGGAUAACGUAGGGAAACUUACGCUAAUACCGCAUACGACCUACGGGUGAAAGCAGGGGAUCUUCGGACCUUGCGCGAUUGAAUGAGCCGAUGUCGGAUUAGCUAGUUGGCGGGGUAAAGGCCCACCAAGGCGACGAUCCGUAGCUGGUCUGAGAGGAUGAUCAGCCACACUGGAACUGAGACACGGUCCAGACUCCUACGGGAGGCAGCAGUGGGGAAUAUUGGACAAUGGGCGCAAGCCUGAUCCAGCCAUACCGCGUGGGUGAAGAGGCCUUCGGGUUGUAAAGCCCUUUUGUUGGGAAAGAAAAGCAGCAGGUUAAUACCCCGCUGUUCUGACGGUACCCAAAGAAUAAGCACCGGCUAACUUCGU
rnacentral:rRNA from 1 species